GUCUCAUUUUCGUACUCGGUCACAGCAACAGCAACAGCAGAUGAUAGUACCGACUGUAUUGGUUCCUCUUCGAGCUCACG
rnacentral:ribozyme from 1 species